rfam:Oreochromis niloticus linkage group LG17, whole genome shotgun sequence.
UCAAAGGCUCUUUUCAGAGCCACCACAGCCUCCGCUACGAGCUCCU